rnacentral:RNase_P_RNA from 1 species
CCAGGUGGCCAGACGACCGCUGGCCCUCGCCGCGAGGCGAGGGCUGGAGGAAAGUCCGGGCUCCACGGGAACACGGUGCCGGCCAACGGCCGGCGGGCAGAGGAAAGCCGGCGGUCCGCCGCCGGCGGCCCAAGGCCCAGGGAAAGUGCCACAGAGAGCAGACCGCCCGCGCGCCGCAAGGUCCGCGGGCAAGGGUGAAAGGGUGCGGUAAGAGCGCACCGCGCCCCCGGCAACGGGGGCGGCAUGGCAAACCCCACCGGGAGCAAGGCCGAAUAGGGGUGGCCGGCGGCGGUCCUUCGGGGCCGUGACGCAAGGGCGUUCCCGCCCCGCCACCCGGGUUGGCCGCGUGAGGCGCGCCGCAAGGCGCGUCCCAGAGGAAUGGUCGUCCCAUCCCCGGGAUUCCCGGGGUGGACAGAACCCGGCUUACCGGCCGCCUGGCGCC